GUGCCAGCAGCCGCGGUAAUACGGAGGGUGCGAGCGUUAAUCGGAAUUACUGGGCGUAAAGGGCGCGUAGGCGGUCGCGCAAGUCGGGUGUGAAAGCCCCGGGCUCAACCUGGGAAUUGCAUUCGAUACUGCGUAACUAGAGUCUGGUAGAGGGAAGCGGAAUUCCGCAUGUAGCGGUGAAAUGCGUAGAUAUGCGGAGGAACACCAGUGGCGAAGGCGGCUUCCUGGACCAAGACUGACGCUGAGGCGCGAAAGCGUGGGGAGCAAACAGGAUUAGAUACCCUGGUAGUCCACGCCCUAAACGAUGAGGACUAGACGUUGGGGGGAUAAAACCCUUUAGUGUCGCAGCUAACGCGUGAAGUCCUCCGCCUGGGGAGUACGGCCGCAAGGUUGAAACUCAAAUGAAUUGGCGG
rnacentral:rRNA from 1 species